rnacentral:rRNA from 1 species
AGAACGAACGCUGGCGGCAUGCCUAAUACAUGCAAGUCGAACGAACUCUUCGGAGUUAGUGGCGCACGGGUGCGUAACGCGUGGGAAUCUGCCCCUUGGUUCGGAAUAACAGUUGGAAACGACUGCUAAUACCGGAUGAUGACGAAAGUCCAAAGAUUUAUCGCCAAGGGAUGAGCCCGCGUAGGAUUAGCUAGUUGGUGAGGUAAAGGCUCACCAAGGCAACGAUCCUUAGCUGGUCUGAGAGGAUGAUCAGCCACACUGGGACUGAGACACGGCCCAGACUCCUACGGGAGGCAGCAGUAGGGAAUAUUGACAAUGGGCGAAAGCCUGAUCCAGCAAUGCCGCGUGAGUGAUGAAGGCCUUAGGGUUGUAAAGGCUACUUUUACCCGAGAUGAUAAUGAGAGUAGUACGGGAGAACGUAAGCCCCCGGUACUAACCGUCCGUG